GGAGGUAUAGCUCACUGGUAGAGCAAUUGGCUGCAGUCCAUUGGGUCACCAGUUCAAAUCUGGUUGCCUCCU
rfam:Selaginella moellendorffii unplaced genomic scaffold SELMOscaffold_9, whole genome shotgun sequence.